rnacentral:tRNA from 1 species
GCCCCCGUAGCUCAGGUGGAUAGAGCACAGGAUUCCUAAUCCUGGUGUCGCUGGUUCGAGUCCAGCCGGGGGCG